AGGCCACUUCAAGGCUGUAUCCAAUGCUCAUUGCAGGAAACAUGAUAUUUCGUCUUAGUUUCUGUUCCCAUGGCUUCCCAAGUCAGUGGGUUACUCCAUCUGCUGAUGGAGAUCUUCUGAAUUGCAGCAUAUGCCAUGAAGCCAGUGUUUCAUGGGAAUGUCUUGAAUAUGGUUACAAGAUGCAUUAUUGCCACAUAAAUGGAAUCUGACUUUGUAGUGUGUCAGCUGCUUCUGGGUUACUGUUUAUGUCUAUAGUCAACAAUAAAACAGUAAAUUUUGGGA